rnacentral:misc_RNA from 1 species
CUUUUUUUUUUUUUUUUAAAUGUUGAAUCACUCUAUGUACAUUCUGGAUGUGUUUAACUUGUGCAUUCAAUCAGUAGUUACAUGUCUACUGAGUAUGCACUGGAUGGUAUAUUUUCUGUGAAUGCUUUAGCUUAGGAGUCAUGUUGCUAGAGAUCAGCGAGAAAAACAGUGGUUUCUAUCUUUUCAAUCGCUUCUGAAUCUUCUUGGAUAUGCAAGUGUCAGUAGAUUCUUCAUAAUAUCUUGUUUCUUUCCAAGGUUUGACCAUUACUUACUAUCAUAUUAGGCAUGGGACUUGUGGAAAGAUGGAAGAGGCACAGAACUAGUGGAUCCAAUAUUAGGUGAAACAAGCUCAGCGAGUGAUGUCUUACGCUGCAUUCAAAUUGGUCUCUCGUGUGUUCAAGAAAGACCAGCAGAUAGAUCAACAAAGUUAGAGGCUGUGUCUAUGCUCAGCAACAAAAUAAUGAUCUCGCCUGCUCCCAAGCAACCUGCAUUUGUGAUAACUUCAAGAUUAAAUGAUGCUGACUUGGCUAAAAAUCCAAGAUCUGGCUCCUUAAAUGGUUUAACAAUUUCAGAUCUUGAGGCUCAGUAGUGUCAUGGUUCCUCUAAGGUGUGUGGCUUAUUAAUCAAAUCAAACACGUUAGCUUAAGUUUGUUAGUCUUGCAAUUACACAAGCCAUAUGCAUCGCAUUCUUCAGUGUCAAUCCUACAUGGAGAAGAUGAAAGUUUGUUCGUGAUUCAAUAAAAAAAUUACUGUGCGUAGGCCUAUGAAUUAAGAUUUCUCCAUGGUACUCUUCAAGCUACCUAUUAACUAGCUAAACCAUUAUUAUUAUUAUUAUUAUUAU